rnacentral:rRNA from 1 species
GACGAACGCUGGCGGCGUGCUUAACACAUGCAAGUCGAGGGCACUAUUGGGGCAACCUGGUAGUGACCGGCGAACGGGUGCGUAACACGUGAGCGACCUUGCCUCGUGGUGGGGGAUAGCCGGCCCAACGGCCGGGUAAGUACCGCAUAUGGUAGUUUCUUCGCAUGAGGAGACUAGCAAAGCCUUGGAGCAAUCCAAUGGCGCCACAGGGGGGC